rnacentral:misc_RNA from 1 species
UGCGAGCUGUGAGGACAAGAGUUGCCGAGUUGUGAGUUUUGUUUGUGUUGUGUCCGACGAAAAUCGCCAAUUCGGCAAGAGUGUCGUCUUCUUCCUCGGUUAAACUCUCCAUUGUGAGUGUGUGAUGAUAUGACUCAUGAAUUCGUUGCGAAUAUAUCGUAUGACAUCGUACAACGCGGUGUGAUAGUUAGCUGUACAGAAUAGCUGCAUAGAAUUUUUACUGAGCGCCGCCCGCCGGUCACGCGUCCAGAGGCUGAGAUCGGUCGAAAUGGAAUCAGCAGGACAGAAUCAGCCACCUAAUAAUAUCAGUGACGGAUCCGACACCAGGGGCAGCUGUUUGUUACUUCGCUAUGCCAGCCAAAAUUCUCUGGACGAGAGUUCGCAGAAGCAUGUUCCUCGUGAGAAUGGGAAGGAUAAACCACCAUAUAGGAAUCAUCAUCACACGAACAGAGCUUUUGAUGUCAUCAACGAGAUGAGAAAGAAAAAUUUACUCUGCGAUGUCAUCUUAGUAGCGGAUGGUGGUAUGGAAGUACCGGCUCACAAAAUGGUUCUCGCUGCAUGCAGUCCUUACUUUUACGCCAUGUUUACAAGUUUUGAGGAACGCGAUCAACAGAGAAUAACGUUGCAAGGCGUGGAUUAUUCGGCAUUAGAAUUAUUAGUAGAUUAUGUUUACUCUGCAGAAGUCCACGUUACAGAGGAUAACGUACAGGUACUUCUACCUGCUGCAAACUUGUUACAAUUAACGGAUGUACGAGAUGCCUGUUGCGAUUUCUUACAAGCUCAAUUACAUCCGUCUAAUUGUCUCGGUAUUAGAGCGUUUGCAGAUCUGCAUGGGUGCCUCGAGUUGUUGACGCACGCAGACAGUUAUAUUGAACAGCAUUUUUCAGAAGUGGUGGACGCAGAAGAAUUUUUAACAUUGGAACCUGAACAAGUGGCUAAACUUAUCUGUAGCGAUCGUUUAAUGGUGCCUUCUGAAGAGAAAGUAUUUGAAUGUGUUAUUUCAUGGGUACACCACGACCUCGAAAAGAGACAGAACGAUUUGGCGUUGUUAAUGGAACACGUGCGCUUGCCUUUGCUUUCUCAAGAGUAUUUAGUGCAACGUGUGGAAGAGGAACCGCUUCUCAAAGCUAAUUUGCAAUGCAAGGAUUUUUUGAUCGAAGCCUUAAAAUAUCAUUUACUGAAGGGUGAGCAAAAGUCAUUAUUUAAAACGCCGCGUACCAAACCAAGACAACCGAGAGGAUUACCUAAAGUAUUAUUAGUUGUUGGCGGCCAAGCUCCAAAGGCGAUCAGGAGUGUUGAAUGUUAUGAUUUCAAGGAGGAAAGGUGGUAUCAAGUUUCUGAAUUACCAACACGACGUUGUAGAGCUGGACUCUGUGUUCUUGGCGGACGCGUAUACGCUGUUGGUGGGUUUAACGGAUCAUUGAGAGUACGAACAGUUGAUAUUUAUGAUGCUGCAGCGGAUCAAUGGUCACCCUGUCCCGAGAUGGAGGCGAGGAGAUCGACGCUCGGUGUAGCCGUACUCGGCAAUUGCGUUUACGCUGUUGGUGGCUUCGAUGGUUCGACAGGAUUAAAUUCGGCUGAAGUUUAUGAUCCACGGACUCGCGAAUGGAGACCAGUAGCACGAAUGUCAACACGGCGUAGUAGUGUAGGAGUCGGUGUUGUCAAAGGAUUGCUUUACGCCGUUGGUGGCUACGAUGGAGAAUCUCGUCAAUGUCUUUCUAGUGUUGAGUGUUAUAAUCCGGAGAAGGAUCAAUGGAAACCUGUACCUGAAAUGUCCGCACGUCGCAGUGGUGCAGGUGUUGGUGUCCUAGAUGGUGUUUUAUACGCCGUAGGAGGUCAUGAUGGUCCACUAGUACGAAAAAGCGUAGAAGCAUUUAAUCCGGAGACAAAUCAAUGGACUCCUGUCAGUGACAUGGCAUUGUGUCGUCGUAACGCCGGAGGAGAAAAAUCUUCGCAACGCCCUCUCCCGAGGGGGACCCGAAAGGGACACCCAUCGGGGGGGGGGAGAUGCCCAGCAGCCCGCAUUACUGGGCGUGCCGGAUUCGACCGCCCCGUGAUCUCAGAGAUACACCAGAACGGCCGUCUACCGACUAAAAAACUCCCCCUGUUCAAGCAAUACCUUAAGACACUUAUGAGAGCACCCCGGGACCGUCAACAGACAUUACUUCAGGCUAGAUAAGUCAAAAACGAACGUCCAAGCACGUCGCACAGUCGCUGAUUGUCCGGAUUUCUGAUACGCGUGUGCAAGUUGAGUAUCUCUCAAAACGCUGCGAAUGAUAGCUAAAUGCUCCAUGAUCGACCGAUCUGAGUUCAAGAGCAACAAACGGCGUCCACGAAUCACGAAGAGGAGGUAGCGUGUACCGUGCCUCAAGAUGACGACGCUCCGAUAGUACAUAGGUAGCGUGAAGGCCCGAUGCGGAAGACGUCAAAUUGUGCGGCAGUGAUCUGCCUGAUGGUCUCAAGAUGGCGGCUUCUAAGCACCACGUGGUAGCUGCAACGUGGUGAUGUAGUGUGACUCGGCAGUUCUCCUGUCCAUAGCAGCAGCGACGUUAUUCAGUGUUGCUUUGUUACGAUGCCCGCUAAAGUGUUUUAGGGAAACAGGCUUUGGGAUGGUCGGACUAAGAAUGCGUAGUAAUCUUUCGAGAAUUUACUAUAUAUAUGUAUUUAUUUAUGUACUUAUUCGAUCAUUAGGAUUAUCGAGUCCUUACAAAAUAAUCUGCGCAGCGCGUGUGUUACAUUCAUAUCUUAUGUGUACGUUAUGUAGCAAUUCAGUUCUGCUUUUCUGUGCUAAAGGCAAAAGUUAGUUGCGUUUGACUAUAAUCUCUCAGGACUACGAUAAUAAGCUGCGUUAAUUUAAUAAUUAUUAAGCAUUAAUAAACUGCGAUUAGUUAUAAUAAAUUUUUAAUGUUAAAAUUAACUACAGUUAAGUAUGACCAAUUACUAAUAUUAAGAUUGCUAAGCACAAGUUUUUCUCUUCAGAUUAGUUAGUUGAAGCAUGUGGUAGCGAGAUUCUUAGAUUGCUUUAGCGUAAGAAUUAUACACGUUAAGGCUUACAAAACGUUAACAAAGGAUUCGCAAGGCUCUAAAGAAAUGCAGUGGAAGUUCGCGGACGAGGAUGAAUGAUAUUUAAUAGGAUGAAGUCGAAUUAGUAGCACGUGGAAAUUGUAUGUUUACAACUGAAUAGCACACCACAAGAGCACUCGUCUUUGUCCACUCAGUUAGACAUCCGAAACCAGAAACAACCAGAGAGCAUAGCCCGAGGGAGCUUCCUUUCGAAAGAUCCGACGUCUCUUGCCCUACUCUCACAUAUUCGGAGUUUUCUGCAAUAAGAGGAGCCUACUUCAAGGGUUUCCCUCGCGCUCGCUUACACAACGCUCAAUCUCUUACAUGCGGGGGUAGCGUUACGGCAAUCCAAUAGUGGGGAUUAGAAGGGAAAAGAGAGAAAUGCUCUGACGUCUAGAGAAGAAAAUACUGCACGGACCUAAUACUUAUAAGUCUACGGCAGUGGUACAAGAAAGAAAAAGAUAUAUGCUACCUUGCUUUGGUCUCUUUCGCCAAUUUUCGGUUAUUAUUAUUGACUAGUUUAACCGGUUGGUGAAGAAGACUCUAAUGCAAAUUA